CCGGCUGUUAUCGACAACUUACUUUACACCAGUAAGUUUGUCUCAUGGGUAAUUGUGUUUUUUUGCUGUUGUUUCGUUGCUUCUGGUGGACAAAUACAUGAAAUAUCUGUGCCAUCAUCAAACAUGUUAAUGGCUAUAUAUCGGGUAAUUCAAACCCUUUUUUCUUCGCAUAGAAACAACUCUUCGUUAAUCUGAGCAUGGAAGUAAUACUUUAUAUCACGAACUAUAAAUGAAGAUACACAAAAUGAAAAACUAAGCGAAAUUGUGAAUCCCGCA
rnacentral:lncRNA from 1 species